rnacentral:rRNA from 1 species
UGGGGAAUAUUGCGCAAUGGGGGAAACCCUGACGCAGCGACGUCGUGUGAGGGAAGAAGGCCUUCGGGUCGUAAACCUCUGUCAGAAGGGAAGAACCGCCUUGGACCUAAUACGUCCUAGGCCUGACGGUACCUUCAGAGGAAGCGCCGGCUAACUCCGUGCCAGCAGCCGCGGUAAUACGGAGGGCGCAAGCGUUAAUCGGAAUCACUGGGCGUAAAGCGCGCGUAGGCUGUUUGAUAAGUCAGACGUGAAAUCCCUCGGCUCAACCGGGGAACUGCGUUUGAUACUGUCGAACUCGAGUCCUGGAGAGGGUGGCGGAAUUCCUGGUGUAGGAGUGAAAUCCGUAGAUAUCAGGAGGAACACCGGUGGCGAAGGCGGCCACCUGGACAGGUACUGACGC